GGAAGUAAAAGUCAUAACAAGGUUUCCGUAGGUGAACCUGCGGAAGGAUCAUUAUCGUACAAAAUGUGGGGGGCAUGCGAGGGCUGUCGCUGACCCAAAAGUCGUGCACGCCCGAGUGUGUCCUCUUGCAUAAUAAUCCAUCUCACCCUUUGUGCAUCACCGCGUGGGCACCCUUCGGGAUCAUCUCGGAGGGGGGCUCGCGUUUUCACACAAACUUUGUAUGCAGUGUAGAAUGUAUUUUUUGUUUUUGCGAUCACGCAAUCAAUACAACUUUCAACAACGGAUCUCUUGGCUCUC
rnacentral:misc_RNA from 1 species